rnacentral:rRNA from 1 species
GACGAACGCUGGCGGCGUGCUUAACACAUGCAAGUCGAACGGAAAGGCCCUGCUUUUGUGGGGUGCUCGAGUGGCGAACGGGUGAGUAACACGUGAGUAACCUGCCUUUGACUUUGGGAUAACUUCAGGAAACUGGGGCUAAUACCGGAUAGGAGCUCCUGCUGCAUGGUGGGGGUUGGAAAGUUUCGGCGGUUGGGGAUGGACUCGCGGCUUAUCAGCUUGUUGGUGGGGUAGUGGCUUACCAAGGCUUUGACGGGUAGCCGGCCUGAGAGGGUGACCGGCCACAUUGGGACUGAGAUACGGCCCAGACUCCUACGGGAGGCAGCAGUGGGGAAUAUUGCACAAUGGGCGGAAGCCGGAUGCAGCAACGCCGCGUGCGGGAUGACGGCCUUCGGGUUGUAAACCGCUUGCGCCUGUGACGAAGCGUGAGUGACGGUAAUGGGUAAAGAAGCACCGGCUAACUACGUG